GAUCAUGGCGUCAGGAUGAACGCUAGCGACAGGCUUAACACAUGCAAGUCGAGGGGCAGCAUAAAAGUAGCAAUACUUGGUGGCGACCGGCGCACGGGUGAGUAACGCGUAUGCAACCUACCUAUCAGAGGGGAAUAACCCGGCGAAAGUCGGACUAAUACCGCAUAAAACAGGGGCACCGCAUGGUGAUAUUUGUUAAAGAAAUUCGCUGAUAGAUGGGCAUGCGUUCCAUUAGGUAGUUGGUGAGGUAACGGCUCACCAAGCCGACGAUGGAUAGGGGAACUGAGAGGUUGGUCCCCCACACUGGUACUGAGACACGGACCAGACUCCUACGGGAGGCAGCAGUGAGGAAUAUUGGUCAAUGGGCGGGAGCCUGAACCAGCCAAGUCCGCGUGAAGGAAGAAGGAUCUAUGGUUCGUAAACUUCUUUUGCAGGGGAAUAAAGUGCAGGACGUGUCCUGUUUUGUAUGUACCCUGAGAAUAAGGAUCGGCUAACUCCGUGCCAGCCGCCGC
rnacentral:rRNA from 1 species